AGGCUGAUGUCAGCAGGACCCAUGCCUGAGCAUCACUGUUUCUUGGGAAGCCUAGGGAUCCCUGUUUGUGCAAGCCGUUCCUGAUGUUCCUUCCAGGCGUCUCAUCAGCUGGAUCAGAACGUCUCUCCCUUUAUUAGAAUGCACUCCUGUGAAAGGAAAAGAUGUACUUUGAGGAGUAGCUUUAAGCUGUUGAGGACUUAGAGGGUCCCAGGCACUAAGAUGUGCAGAGAAAACCCAAGGUCCUUGUGUUGUCCACUUGUGUCCUAUCUGAUAAACAUGAGCUGCUAAAGAGGAAAUGAUUCUUAAAAGCUUUUUUUGUUGGAAAAUAUUCAAGAGACUAUUGAUUGGGUCUCAAUUUUAUGCAUCAGAGUCAUUACUUUCAGGCCACCAGGACACAAAUAAGUGAGGACACAGGAAGAGUUUUCAUCUUGCUAAAUGUGGACAGAUUGAAAAUUACGUUACUUAAAAUCAUGCUGACUGUACAGAGACAAGUUUAUGGCCAAACUGCUUCAUGUACAGCUGACGACAAGACAUUAGAGCACCAGUCACUGGGACUCCUUGGCAGCAAUCUAUCAUUUAUAUGGCAGGUCUGGAUGGCUUGCUGCUGGCGAGUUCACGAAGGCAUGGGGGAGACAGCAAGGUGCUCAGUCCAGAGCUGUCAGAGAGCAGACGGGAGGCGUGGCCACCUGUGCAUCAGCGUGGAGUCUCCUUUUCUCCAGAUGAUGCAUGUGUUAGCACAGAUCUCACCUUUCCCAAGAAAAGUUGUUACAUCUUUGUUAGUGAGAUCUUUUGAGGAACUUGGUCACACCUCUUCAGUUUAAUUAUCAUACUACACUGAAGUGACUUCUUUCCUUUUCCAGCUUUCCUACCGAGAACAACUAUCGACGGUUGCUUUCCAUUAUGACUUCAACACUGCACUAACAGAUCUGUUAAUAUCUGUGGCUGGCAUAAAUAUACAAGAAAGACUC
rnacentral:lncRNA from 1 species